UCUUAUUUCAUUUAAUUUUUAGAAGACCUUUCAAGGUUGACAUUAUUUUCUGUGACAGAGUUUAACCCAAAAAAAGGUUAAGUAAAUUGUCAAUUAUAUAAUAAUGGGCAAAGUGCAUGUCAUUGUCAGCUGUUUUGCCACUUUCUUCCUGAGUGCAUGAGUGACAACUGACUCCAGUGUUGUAAGAGAACCAGGAUUGUAACCAGUGUUGUAAAUGUUCCCAGGAAAAACAGGAGAGUGGGAAGUAGAACAGGAAAGAAGGACAAGCAAGGAUGUGAUAGCUGGCAAAGUCCCACUGGGAAGCUCGGAUACUGUGAGGAUCACAGCUCAGAGGGUCCUGUUUGGAGGUUCUGGAGACGGAGAAGUCCAAGAUCAAGGUGCUGGUAGAGUUAGCACCUAGUGAAGACCCACUUCCUGGUGUUACCUUUUGCUGUGUCCUCACUUGGGGGAAGAGGUUGAAACCAGAAAACUCCCGUUCCUAGACUUCCUUGCAGCUAGGGUUCUGGCAUAGGACCUGGGUUUCACCAGUCAGACAUCUCCAGGUGUGACUUGACUUCAGCUGAGAAAGCAGCAAGUGGAGAUGCUCCUUUUCCUCUCCGGAGGAGGCAUCCAGCACUUUGGAAAUAGCAACAGCAGAGCUUCUGGUGUCCAUUCCUAAAGGUCAUUCGUGCCUAGUGACAGCUGCGGUGGUGUUGUUGGCAGAGUGGCCUUCGUGGUGUGGUUGGGCCUUGCUCCCGGUUGCCUUAGAGGCAGACCCUGGCUUUCUGGUCCUCUGAGAGGUUCUGUGAAUUACCCAAUAUUCCUCAAUAAAUUCCUGCACGAACUAGUCAGAGCAGAGGCGGUUGUUUGCAAUUAAGAACACUGAAUGGUACCAGUGAUAUGGUACCAAACCUCGACUAACAAUAAGCUGCACAUGGAUUUUGUACGUGCAUUUUAUUUCAGACCAAGGAGCAGUACAAUGCUCUUCGAAACCAAUACCUAAUAUGUUGCGCCUUAGUGGAGAAAGCAACCCCAAACUCAUAAGAUGACCUCAUCUGAUGCCAGACAUACUCGUCUCUUCUAUGUGAAAUCAGAAAAGGAAAGUGAGGCAAUGUUCAAUAAUUCCUUACCUGUCCUGACCAGGCAGGAAGAAGACUGGGGGUUUGAGUGCUCUGGAAUUCUCAGAGAUCUUGGGCUUCAUACGACAGCUGCAAAGCUCUACAGGGAAGCAGUUGGUAGUUUUAAGGAUUUGAGUCCUCUGCAGUUAGGGACUCUGCGUAAUGUUUUUAGCAGUCAUUAAAUGUGAGCAGUUAAAAAUGAAAAACAUUAUGUACAGGUAUGAGGAGGAUGCAGAGGAGGAGAUGAAGAGAUAUAGUUCACAUUUAUACAUUUUCAACCAGCAGAUCAUAAUUUUAUUGUGGAUCUUGAAGUUUCAUUGUAAUUAUGCCCCAAGUAUUUCAGGAAUUGAUCCUUCCAUUUAUCCAUUCAUCCACUCAGUAGUCCAACAGGAAGUAUUUAUUGAAUGCCUAUCAUGUGCCAGUACCAAUUAUAUUCUAGAGUGGAGGAAAAUACAGUAUUAUCCUUCUCAAACUGAUUAGAAACUGAACUGGUAGCAACACCCUUUGGGGAAAACAAACUGAAAAGAAUCUUGUUCAGAGACAGAUUUUGGUAGGUCUUUUCUGUUUGUGCAUGUCUUCCCAGCAGAGGCAUCGAUAGCCUUUGUUACAGACUGUAUUUUCAAGGCUGUUUGCUAUACAAACAGCCUAGGAAAUUAGAGGUGUUAUCUCCUUUUGGGGCAGGGCGAAGAUUUGUUUGCUGAUGAGGAUAAUAAGGAUAAUGUCCCACUCUAAAGGUUGGGGAGGUUUGCUAGCAGACUCUUUAAAAAAGAGUGGAGUUUCCUACACUCUCAGUUGCAUGCUUAACAUCUACCUAGGCUGUCCAGCAUCACUCCCAUGGGAUUUGGAGAUGGAGGUGGCAAGACGAAGUGAUGCAAACAUGAGGUUCAUGCAGCCUGGGUGAAUUACAAAGUCCUUUGUCUCUGACCCAGGAGUCUUGGUUAGACUUCUGCCAGCUUCCAGGAAACU